CGUGUCUGUACCGGUGCUGCAACGGGAGGGUCGGGCGGCGACGCUCUCACUGCCGGGCCAGAAGGAGGCCUCCCGGCUCCCUCACGCUAGAAGGGAGCUGGUUACCAGAGGUUUUCAGAGACGCCAAAGUUUUGCCAGAAUUUGUUGCAAGCACAUGAAAGAUUUUGUGGCUGAAGUAAUGUAAAACCAUUGAUCAAACCGGAAAUUGAGACACAGCCAGCGUCACACAACAGGCCAUCUGAAAGGCUGGAAUAGCAUCGAGGGAGUCUCCCUGGAACCAAGCAGCCAAGGCAGGCUAAUGGUGAAGGCCCAGGCACAGUAAUGGUCCCCUGGAGGUGGGUAAUGGAACCAUGGGGGCGGGAGGAGGGUUCCAUUAGCAGUAGCAGAUCAGGAGGGGAAGGGCAAAGUUCCAGCCUCAGCUUCUCCCAUGUAUUAGGAGGCUUCCUGUCUCUCCAGCCCUGAGGAGGUAUUUGGCUCAUUCAGGCCUUUUCAUCCUCCUUCUCUCAACUUCUCUCAUUGCCCCUGGGAAAACUUGCUCUGAAAAUGCAUGCUGGGGAUGAAGCCUCUGCCCUGGCCCAGGCUCCAAUCCCCCCUUCCCAGGGUACAGUGGUGUCUCUGUUGCCCCUUGAUGCCAUACCCUGCCUUACACUCUCUGGUGGCUCCACCAUCCUCUGGAUAAAGCCUAGCUCUCUAGCCUGCCACUCCAGCCUCCCUGCCUCUCUGCCUCACCUCUCACCUCUGACCAGCCUCCUGUUGCCUCUUGCUGCUCCCUCUGCCCACAGUGCCCCCUGCUUCUGGCUCCCCACCAUGGGUCCUCGAAGACCCAGGCCAGGUGCCCCACCACUUACCAUGCUGUUAUUGCUAUCACUGCCUGUCUCCCCCUCUAACAGGGAUCUCUCUGAGAGCAGAGCCAGGUUCCAUUCUGUUCACAAUUAAAUGGCCAACACCUAGCACUGUCCCUGAAUAAUUUUUCUUUUUUUUUCUUUGAGAUGGAGUCCUGCUCUGUCAUCCAUGCUGGAGUGCAGUGGCGUGAUCUCAGCUCACUGCAACCUCCGCCUCCUGGGUUCAAGUGAUUCUCCUGCCUCAGCCUCCCAAGUAGCUGGGAUUACAAGUGUGCACCAUCACACCCUGCUGAUUUUUGUAUUUUUAGUAGAGACAGGGUUUCACCAUGUUGGCCAGGCUGUUCUUGAACUCCUGGCCUAAAGCGAUCCACCCGCCUUGGCCUCCCAAAGUCCUGGGAUUACAGGCGUGAGCCACCGUACCUGACCCCUGUCCCUGAACAUUUGUCACAAUAUAUUAUGAGUGAAUGAGUAAGAACUCUAUUUUAGUGGUCACCUUCUUUGUGCUAGUCAUUAAGUUUAAGGUAUCUCGCUUAAUAUUCUCCAGAACCCUGUGAGAUAGGCAUUAUUUUAUUCUCAUGUGACAUGUAGAGAAACAGGUUCAGAAAGGGGAAGCGAAAGUCCAAAGCAGUGAAUCUGCGGUGGGUCUCCUGGCCCCAGAAUUGCAGCCUGAUGGGAAGGAAGGCCCUGCUGAGUUCCCAGAGUUAUGGCUGGGUCAUGGCAUUGGGACCCACACUGGCAGCUCCAGUUACACAGGGCUGGGCUGGCUCUAGCAGCCUUGUCUUACUUGCUCCCUGAACUGCUGCAUUGACCUGCACCAUCCUCCCUUCCCUUGCCAGCCGAGAACUGUGCUCCUCAGGUUUCCUGGGCAGGGUCCAGGGCUCUGAUGCCAAACGCAGCCUGGAAACUCUAGCUCUCAGCAUGCCAGGAUGCGGGCACCCAAGUGAGGCCGCCUGGGAUGCAGGAAGCUUAGUCCAGGCCUGGGCAUGCCUCUGUUCCAUCUCCCCUCAAGCAGGACCAGCUACUUAAUCUGCGGGACCCAGAGCAGAAUGAAAAUGUGGGCCCCUCAUUCAAAAAUUUAAAAUUUCCAACAAAAGAAUGAAAAAAUAAGAAAAAAUUAAGAAUUUCAAGAUGGUGAUAGCAGAGUAUUUAACACUUCAAAUCAUGACCCUUACUGUCCAGGUCACAUGCCCACAAAGUCAGCCCUGUCGUCAGGCCUUGGUUUCCUUGUCUGUCAAGUGGGAGAAUGGUAGCCACUGGCCAAAAGGGUGAGGGUGAGAAUGAGGUGGGAGCUGGUGGUAAGAGGUCCAGUGAACAGCAUGAGGAUGAGGUAAGAGUCUCCAAGUUCAUGAUUUGUUAUCUGGGUCUCAGCACCGGGUGGCAGGCCAAACUCCUUGCCAGGAGUUUGAUUGCUUACAACAGCUCUUUUUCACAGAACCAAAAAACUAAAAAUCCAUGAAGCAAAGUAACUUGCUCAGGGUCACACAGAGACUCAGUGGGGGAAGCCAAGAUCAGAGUUCUGGCCUGGCUCUCUUCGAAGCUGGUGCUUUUUGUGACCCAGGCAGGAGAGAGAGAAGCGCAGGAGGGAGGUGGGAUGGGGACAGGCUGCUCAGGACAAAGAGGGCCACUGUGCAGACACAAAGACCUGACCACAGAGGCCCCUCUGGGGGCUGGGACAGACAAAUGGAUGGAGCCCUGUGACUCUAUCUGUGGUGACUGGGGUAGCUGCCAGGAGCUGCCUCCUAGACCCUACCUGGUUGUGAUGAGGGUUGGGGAGGGUGUUGGUGUGCAGGAACCAGGAAAUGGGUCAGGGAGGAGAAACAAACUCAGAGAUGGGCCCCUUCCCCACUCCCCAGGCCUCUGACCCCAUCUCCCCCUAGCUCCUCCUGGGCAGCCUGCCAGCUUAUGGAAUCUCCCACAAACCAUCCACCGCCCCACAUUCCUCCUUCUCAGUGAGGGUGAGGCUCAGGCAACUCACUGUCUGGCAGUCCCAGCCUCACAAUACUUCUGACCCUUCCCCAUCACCAGUGGCAGGAUGAAGCAUAUGCCCUCGGCGCAGUGUCCUUCAGGGCCCUGUGUGACCUGCCCUGCUGACCUUUCUUCACUCACCUGUCCCCACUCCUCCUCAGCCUUCUACGCUGCAGUCACAUGGAACGUCCCACCAUUCUCCAAACACUCUGUCCUUUCAUACACACACCCCCAUGUUGGCUCAUGCUUUUCCUUCUUCCUGGGGGGCUGUUUCCCCUGCUCCAGUAGACUGAAAUCCCAUUUCUCCUCCAUGAACCAGCUCAAAUGCCACCUCCAGUAGCCAGCUUUCCUCCAUGCCCACAGUUGGGUUUAGCUUCGCUCAUUAACCUGUUAAUCUACA
rnacentral:lncRNA from 1 species